rnacentral:lncRNA from 1 species
AAAAAAAGCAUACUUCAUAUUAUAUCUUCAAUAAAAUAACAACUAAGUGUUUGUACAAUGUAAAUUAAAAAACAAAAAUAAAUUAAAGACACAUAAUGACGUAUUAUUUGAAUAUGAGGAAUUACUUAGUAGGAGAAGCACCUGCAUCCCCUCUUGAUCUGGUUCAAAGUUUUGGUCCUCCUCGCCCAGGCAAGUAUGUUCUUCACCACCCAUUUCUUGCGCACGCACAUCCCACUUUUUGCUAUCUACAUAGCAAAAUCAACACACCACGGAUGCUCAUAUCAUACUUUACUAAAAACAUACACCAAAUAUUCUUUUAAAUUAAUAUUUUUAUUUUAUUUUUUACACGAAAAUCAUACUCACUCCCCACCAACCCUCUCUCUCAUCUCCCGACUUUCACUUUGAACAGACGGUGAUGUUCGAAAGCAUGGUUAUCCAUGAACUAGCACCAGAGGUUUACACAAUAAUAUUUACAAGGAAUGAAACUCACCUCAUUAUUCUUUGUCUCAUCGCAGCGAACAUGUUUCCGUCCAUUAUCAGCAAGAGCCAUGUCUGUCACACAAUAUUGUUAAGAUCGCGAGUAAACUUCCGAACUCUUACGAUUCAACGAGUUUGGAAGGGAAAUUUAGUUGACUCGGACGGGGGACCGUCACCUGUGCGGCUCCUACUGGUAUGGCUCGCCGCCGUCGCACUCGCCACUACCCGUAUUCGCAAGCGCUUCCGUUCGCCACCGCUCGCCGCCUCUCCCGCUCGCGUUCACCUCCGUUGUUUUGUUUUAAUAUUUUCUCUGCUCCUCAAUUCUUUUUUUUUCUGAAUUCUGUUCUGCUCGUUCUUUAUUCUCACCUAUCUAUUCUUCUCCC